rnacentral:rRNA from 1 species
ACGAACGCUGGAGGCGUGCUUAACACAUGCAAGUCGCACGGAAAGGCCCUGCUUUUGUGGGGUGCUCGAGUGGCGAACGGGUGAGUAACACGUGAGUAACCUGCCCUUGACUUUGGGAUAACUUCAGGAAACUGGGGCUAAUACCGGAUAGGAGCUCCUGCUGCAUGGUGGGGGUUGGAAAGUUUCGGCGGUUGGGGAUGGACUCGCGGCUUAUCAGCUUGUUGGUGGGGUAGUGGCUUACCAAGGCUUUGACGGGUAGCCGGCCUGAGAGGGUGACCGGCCACAUUGGGACUGAGAUACGGCCCAGACUCCUACGGGAGGCAGCAGUGGGGAAUAUUGCACAAUGGGCGGAAGCCUGAUGCAGCAACGCCGCGUGCGGGAUGACGGCCUUCGGGCUGUAAACCGCUUUCGCCUGUGACGAAGCGUGAGUGACGGUAAUGGGUAAAGAAGCACCGGCUAACUACGUG